rnacentral:misc_RNA from 1 species
GGGACUACCAGGGUUUCUAAUCCUGUUUGCUCCCCACGCUUUCGUGCAUGAGCGUCAGUGCAGGCCCAGGGGAUUGCCUUCGCCAUCGGUGUUCCUCCGCAUAUCUACGCAUUUCACUGCUACACGCGGAAUUCCAUCCCCCUCUGCCGCACUCCAGCUUUGCAGUCACAAGCGCCAUUCCCAGGUUAAGCCCGGGGAUUUCACGCCUGUCUUACAAAACCGCCUGCGCACGCUUUACGCCCAGUAAUUCCGAUUAACGCUUGCACCCUACGUAUUACCGCGGCUGCUGGCAC